rnacentral:rRNA from 1 species
AUUGAACGCUGGCGGCAGGCCUAACACAUGCAAGUCGAACGAGUGGCGGAUGGGUGAGUUAUGUCUGGGAUACCGUCUGAUGGAGGGGGAUAACUACUGGAAACGGUAGCUAAUACCGCAUAACAUCAGAUGUGCACAGAUGCGUCUAGCUAGUUGGUGGGGUAACGGCUCACCAAGGCGAAGAUCCCUAGCUGGUCUGAGAGGAUGACCAACCAAAAUGGAAAUAGGACACGCUGCAGACUCCUAAAGGAGGCAGAGGUGGGGAAUAUUGCACAAUGGGCACGAGCCUGAUGCAGCCAUGCCGUGUAUAUGAAAAAGACCUUCGGGUUGUGGAAGACGUUCAGCGGGGGAGCGUUGCCCGGGGAAGAAGCGCCGGCUAACUCCGUGCCAGCAGACGCGGUAAUGC